GGCUACUUAGUAUAAUAGUUAGUAUUUCUAACUCGUGAAUUAGAAGAUCUAGGUUUAAUUCCUAAGAUAGCCU
rnacentral:tRNA from 1 species